AUUGAACGCUGGCGGCAUGCUUUACACAUGCAAGUCGAACGGCAGCGCGGGCUUCGGCCUGGCGGCGAGUGGCGAACGGGUGAGUAAUGCAUCGGAACGUGCCCAGUAGUGGGGGAUAGCCCGGCGAAAGCCGGAUUAAUACCGCAUACGACCUGAGGGUGAUAGCGGGGGACCGAAAGGCCUCGCGCUAUUGUAGCGGCCGAUGUCGGAUUAGCUAGUUGGUGGGGUAAAGGCUUACCAAGGCGACGAUCCGUAGCUGGUCUGAGAGGACGACCAGCCACACUGGGACUGAGACACGGCCCAGACUCCUACGGGAGGCAGCAGUGGGGAAUGUUGGACAAUGGGGGCAACCCUGAUCCAGCCAUGCCGCGUGCGGGAAGAAGGCCCUCGGGUUGUAAACCGCUUUUGUGCGGGAAGAAAUCCUCUGGGCUAAUACCCCGGGGGGAUGACGGUACCGGAAGAAUAAGCACCGGCUAACUACGUG
rnacentral:rRNA from 1 species